GCCCCCGUAGUCCAACGGCAGAGACGGCAGCAUGAGGUGCUGUGCGAUGCAGGUUCAAAUCCUGUCGGGGGUACCA
rnacentral:tRNA from 1 species